rnacentral:rRNA from 1 species
AAUAUAUACCAACCUAAGCGUGCCCAAUCUUGUCUGAUCUUGGAAGAUAAGCAAGGUCCAUUCCAGUUCGUAUCUGGAAGAGAAAUCACUACGAAUUACCAAGGAUCUUC